AUACGUAGGUGGCAAGCGUUGUCCGGAAUUAUUGGGCGUAAAGCGCGCGCAGGUGGUUCCUUAAGUCCGAUGUGAAAGCCCCCGGCUCAACCGGGGAGGGUCAUUGGAAACUGGGGAACUUGAGUGCAGAAGAGGAUAGUGGAAUUCCAAGUGUAGCGGUGAAAUGCGUAGAGAUUUGGAGGAACACCAGUGGCGAAGGCGACUGUCUGGUCUGUAACUGACACUGAGGCGCGAAAGCGUGGGGAGCAAACAGGAUUAGAUACCCUGGUAGUCCACGCCGUAAACGAUGAGUGCUAAGUGUUGGGGGGUUUCCGCCCCUCAGUGCUGCAGCUAACGCAUUAAGCACUCCGCCUGGGGAGUACGGUCGCAAGACUGAAACUCAAAGGAAUUGACGGGG
rnacentral:rRNA from 1 species